rnacentral:rRNA from 1 species
GAUGAACGCUAGCUACAGGCUUAACACAUGCAAGUCGAGGGACCGGCGCACGGGUGAGUAACACGUAUCCACCCUGCCCUUUACUCGGGGAUAGCCUUUCGAAAGAAAAAUUAAUACCCAAUCUAAAGGAUUGGGAUGCGUUCCAUUAGGUUGUUGGUGAGGUAACGGCUCACCAACCCUUCGAUGGAUAGGGGUUCUGAGAGGAAGGGCCCCGACAUUGGAAAUGAGACACGGUCCAAACUCAUACGGGAGGCAGCAGUGAGGAAGAUUGGUAAAUGGGCGCUAGCCUGAACCAGCCAAGUAGCGUGAAGGAUGAAGGCUUAUGGGUCGUAAACUUCUUUUAUAUAAGAAUAUGUAUUAUAUGAAUAAGGAUCGGCUAACUCCGUGCCAGCAGCCGCGGUAAUUC